rnacentral:rRNA from 1 species
CCUACGGGCGGCAGCAGUGGGGAAUAUUGGGCAAUGGGCGCAAGCCUGACCCAGCAACGCCGCGUGAAGGAAGAAGGCUUGCGGGUUGUAAACUUCUUUUCGCAGGGACGAAGCAAGUGACGGUACCUGAGGAAUAAGCCACGGCUAACUACGGGCCAGCAGCCGCGGUAAUACGUAGGUGGCAAGCGUUAUCCGGAUUUACGGGGUGUAAAGGGCGUGUAGGCGGGAAAGCAAGUCAGAUGUGAAAACCAUGGGCUCCACCUGUGGCCUGCAUUGGAAACGGUUUUUCUUGAGUACUGGAGCGGCCGACGGAAUUCCUAGUGUAGCGGUGAACUGCGUAGAUCUUAGGAGGACCACCAGUGGCGCAGGCGGUCUGCUGUACAGCAACUGACGCUGAGGCGCG